rnacentral:rRNA from 1 species
UACGGGAGGCAGCAGUGGGGAAUAUUGCACAAUGGGCGAAAGCCUGAUGCAGCUAUGCCGCGUGUAUGAAGAAGGCCUUAGGGUUGUAAAGUACUUUCAUCGGGGAGGAAAAACAAAACUAAUAAUUUUAUUUCUUGACGUUACCCAAAAAGAAGCACCGGCUAACUCCGUGCCAGCAGCCGCGGUAAUACGGAGGGUGCUAGCGUUAAUCAGAAUUACUGGGCGUAAAGAGCACGUAGGUGGUUUUUUUAAAGUCAGAUGUGAAAUCCCUGGGCUUAACCUAGGAACUGCAUUUUGAAACUGAAAUACUAGAGUAUCGUAGAGGGAGGUAGAAUUCUAGGUGUAGCGGUGAAAUGCGUAGAUAUCUGGAGGAAUACCUGUGGCGAAAGCGGCCUCCUAAACGAAUACUGACACUGAGGUGCGAAAGCGUGGGGAGCAAACGAGGGAUUAGAUACCCGU